GAAUUAGGAUGAAAAAUAGAUACUGAAGCUAUUAUUAUCAGCCAUAAACAUAUUUUCCACAAAAGUAGUUCGAUACAUACUUUUUAUUGUAAAUUAAAUCGAUACAUAUGUUGAUAUUACACUUUGAUCUUGGGCAAAAGACUGAGGCGCCACGUUUGUGAGAUAGGCAUCAUUGAUAACACCAAAGAGAUAACACGCACUGCUAGCGAGCGGAGUGAGAGAGAGAGAGAAAGAGAGAGAGAGAGAGAGAGAGUAAUAACUGUGAUAAUAACAUUUUACACUUAAUGGGUGUUGGUCAAAGGUGCAUCAGAGUGAUCACAUUGAAGGGAACCGUCCUCCCAUGAAUGUGCCAGCAGAUGUCUCCACGCAUCUCAACUCUGCAGCGGAUCGAAAAUGACAAAAUUGAAAUUUGGAAGAUGGAGGGCAAAAUUUCAACAGAGUUCUCUCAUCAGUGUUUUAUAUUAGUUUUUCAAAAUUGGUUGGCAUUGGAAGGAUUAUAAAAAUUCAGGACAGUUUUGUUGUUGGGCUUUCUGCAGCAUUCGUAUUAUACAGCAAGGCAUUCAUCACAGAAAGAGACGGAUACUUCAUGACAAAUCUCAUCAUUAUGUCGCAAGAAUACAGUCUAUAGAUAUUCUAAAUAUAAAGUACUGAGACAAUUUCACACAACAUCAAACCCUGGGGAAAAUGGACACAACUCGCAAAAGAGAAAGUUCUGACCACUUAAAUUUGAUAAAGCAACUGAAAGUUCUUUACUUCAGAGUACAGAUUGGUAUGCAGACAAGUGAAGUAUCAGAUGCCCUUACAAGCCUCAGCUGUCACAUGAAUUUAUUACAUAAAACAACUGGCCCAGACAAACUGGCUAUAGAACUUUUAAAGUUCUCUCAAUCAUUACAGUCCAAUACAAAAUUAGCUGAAUGUUUCCUGGUUCAGUUUAUGAAUUAUAUAGAAUCAACCAUAGACUUGGAAGAGAACUUGGAUACAGUUAAGGAAAUCAUAAGAUAUUUGCUUCCCUGCAUUAAUGUUGCACUGAAGAAUCAACCUAAAGAACAGAUCCCAAACAAGCUUCUUAAGGAUGACUUCCUCUCUAAUCUGUACAAAGCUAUAGUAAAUACUUUCAGAAAAGAAAGCCUAUACCAAGAAGGUUCAACUACAGAUAUAUUGAACUAUCAGAACACUGAAGACAGAACAGUUAAGGCACAUAUUGUAAGAAUGAAUCAAAGAGACUCUAAAAGAACAUUUCAAGAGACUUUUGGUGACUAUGGUAACAUUGCAAGUCUUUACCUUAUCUAUGUGUGGCAGAUCUACAUGAUUUAUGAGAUCAGAAAAGAAAACUCUGUACAGUCCUCAAUACACAGCCUCACACAAACUAUGGAGAAAUCUGGAAAAUAUAUAGUAGUUGUAUCUGACAAAGAUCUGAAGAAAAUGGCUUUGACUGAUCCCUUGUCACCAGCUGGAAGAUACUACAAAAUCCUGACACAAACUGACAAGGUAGCAGCCCGUCACCCAAUACCAGACCUAGACUUUGAGUGGACAGACCUCCAGAUCAGUGUGCUGCAUCCAAAUGGAGUUGCUUUCCUUGCCAACUCUGCCACAUGGAACGACAGCCUCAGAAAAAUCUCGUCCACCAUUGAGGGCCUGGAGGUGAAGAGAUCCCUAAGAUUCGUACCAGCUCUUGGUUCAACAUUUGCUCUGUCAGUAAAGCAGUCUGGCAUGAAUACUAACAAUAAAGCAGAGGGUGUCAGCUUCAUCCGAGUACGAGUGGUGAGAGUGACACAGUCCAUUUGUGGAGUAUAUGGAAUAGACACAGGCAGCUUUUACUCGUGCAGAGCCAGGAAUUUGGUGCUCCUUCCAGCCUCCAUCAUAAACCUGCCUCCUUGUGGGCGACUGGCAAGACUUCCGGUUGUGCCUUCACCAGCCUCCUCAUCAGUGGCUCCUGCACUGUCCCUGGUGGCAGCCUUGGCCCAGCAUACCACCCUGGCCCUGAGCCUCUCACCAGGAGACAUCCUACAGGCCAGUCUUUGGUUGCAAGUAGCAGAAUUGAACCUCCCAACCCUGCAUUUCCUAAAGGCACUGACAUGCCAGCCUGCCACUCAUCAUUUAUUAUCCACUAUUGCAUCAGUAGUUGCAGAUCAUCUACUGAGAUUGACAGAGGGUGACCAGCCAAACCGGGAAGUUACCAUUCUUCUCAUCUCUAUUCUCACUUUGACAAUGAAUAAAUCAUCAAAAAUUUCUCUCAUGUUAGCCAGAAGAGGAUUAUUUACUGCACUGUGUGAGGCAGCCCUCACAUGGCAGUGCCAGGAAGUGUGGGAAUGUAUCAAAGUUUUGCUUGGCAAAAAACAAAUGAUAAUGAAAUUUCUUAGUCACAACAACAGAGCAGCACAUCUUGAAGCUCCAGUAAGAAAUCUGAAACCACUUCAGCCUUGUAAAGCAAGAAGUGCUGACAGCCUUGACACUUCACCAACUGUAAUGCAGAUGGCAAACCUUUCAACUCCAGAUUAUAAUUGGGAUUUGAAAAUGAGAGCCACUUUCACCUCUCCCCAGCUGGUCCAGAACCCUUGUCUGGGCAACUGGUGCUGGGACAAAGAUGAAGUCUUGUCCAGCCAUACAAGUGUCCUUCAGAGAGGUCAUCACUUGGGUGUGAAAACUGACCUUACCCAUCAUGUCUUACAGGAAAGGAAUGUUUCCAGCAUCUGCUCUGACACUCUUUUACAGAUUAUUUUGGGAAUGCUGAACACACAUCUUGGAGGCAAGAUCUACAUUGGGCUAAGCCAGUUUGGAGUGGUGGAAGGAAUCAAGAUGACUAGGGAUCAGCAAGACUGCUUUCUGCUUGGUUUUUGCAAGAUUGUAACAUCUGACAUUUAUCCAAGCCUUCUACCAUGUGACUCGGUUGCCCACUUUGUACCAGUGCAGCAGCCUGAUGCAGCUUCUCCACAAUCAGAAUUUGCAUAUUAUGUCAUCAUCCUCACGAUACAACCAGAGCCCAAACAAGUGUAUUUUCCCAAAGACCAUCCAGGAAAGCUGUACAUAAGAGAUGGAGGUGUCACCCUCACACUGCACGGGUCAUGUCAGGCUGAACUACUCUCAAAAUCUCACAUUUGGGCUCAGGAGCUAGAGCAACAAGUAAAAGAAGAAAAACAAGCAUUGCUGCAACUAGCAAUAGGCAGAAGUCAUCAGCAUUGACCCAACUUCUUCGCAAGUAACUUCCGACCCUCCUCUCCAGUAAAGUAAUCCCUGAGAGCAUCAACAGCUCGGAAGCGCAUGGUGUCUUGGUAUACGCACCUUUGGGCUGAAAGCAAGGGUCCCAUCCAAAGUUGUUAUCACCGCGAGGUUCAACUAUUGUACCCAGAGUUUUGCCAUGGAAGAGAAGCACCUCCUCCUUUGGCUCUCCAGAAGAAUAUGCAAAUGUGCAGACUGCUUCAGCAGACUGUAAAUAAAAACUGUGUUAGUAUUAUUGGUUCAAGUGUUAUCCAUAAAAGGAAAUACUCAAUCAUAAAAGCAAAAUAUAAGAAUUAUGUCAGAUAUAAUAACAUUUACCAAGUAUAAGAUCCAGUAUCAAGGUUUCAAAAUCUUAUUUUAAGGUGACACUGGAGGAUAAAUUUCCAACUUGAGAUCUGUCCAGCAGUCACAUAGUCCAUAAGGGUAAUCAACCACACAGAGGUGGAUGACAUUCGGACAGUUUAUUUCUAAACUGCUGGUCUUAGCUUAACAUCUGAAAAAUAUAUUAAAUAACUAUUGCCAGACAAUAGUAGUUAUCCUCCUCACCUUAUCCUCAAAACCUGCAAGCAUUUUAUGAAGACCUGUAGGCCCCAGCUUUUCCAAAAACCAUUUUAUAUAAGGACCUGAAAAAAGUGACAUGCAAAACAAACAUUUAUUAUCAUGAGAUGACAAUGAUAUGAAUAUACUACCGAUAUUGGCUACUUAAGUAACAACAUAUUAUUUCAGCCUACAUUUUACUGUCACUUAUUUCCGCACCUGAAAGGAGCACCAGAAUGAAAUAAAAAAAUUUUACCAAAUGAAAAGAACAAAA